CUAUACGUGUACAUCAUAUAAAAACGUGUACACAAUAUUGACUAUUUCAUGAAAAGCAUGAAAAAUUAUCACGGCCAAUAAGUCGGUUAAAUAUAUAUAUAUAUAUAUAUAUAUAUAUAUUGUAUAGAAUUAUGUCUCAUAAAGAUUGCAAGAGAAAGGAGAGAGGGGUAAAAAAAAGAACGAGAAUUGUAGAAAAAAAAUAUAUAGGAAUCUGGCUUCAAGAGGCAAAAAGGUGAGGAUCGAUAAUUAAAUAUGGAAAACAGAAUCAAAAGUGCAGUUAGAUUAUCUUUCGUAUCCAGAGAUUCUUGGAGUUGGUGAUUAUGUAAUUGUGAGAACAAUUCGCCCUAAUUCAGAUAGAGAUUUCCUUGAAUUAUUGGCGAUAUAUUGUCCCGCAGUGUUAACCCUACUCUAAGCUGGCAGUUGUAGAUGGUUUAAGUCGUCCUUAACCAAAUCCUUGUCCACUUCAAGAAACUCUGGGAUUGCAAAUCGUGCGGAUUGGUUCAUUACCGGGUCAACCCGAUAACAACCCAACCCAAUAAGGCCAACCCCAAACCCAACCUGUUAAGGAAACUCCAAACCCGAACAUGAAUCCGACUUGCCACCUUCAAACCCGAACACAACCCGAACAUGACCUAGACACGACCCGAACACGAUAGCGACACGAACCACUUUGGGUUGACCCGACACGAUAACAACAGGAUAUCAACCUGAACACGAUAACGAAACAAACCACUUUGGGUUGACCCGACACGAUAACAACACUACAACAACCUAAACACGAUAAUGACGCAAACUACUUUGGGUUGACCCAGUAGUAAUGACACGAAUAUGGCUGGCAAAUCGUGCGUGUUGUGUCGUUAUCGUGUCGACACAAUAACGACACAACACGAUAACAUGAACACGACCCGCUACCCUCAGACACGAACACGACACGAACCACUU